GUACUCACGUCGGUGGUACAUACACUAAAAUUGGAACGAUACAGAGAAGAUUAGCAUGGCUCCUGCACAAGGAUGACAUGCGAAAUCGUGAAACGUUCCACAUUUUU